GGCGUGGAUUAGGCAUGCAAGUCGAACGUGAACCUUGCUUCGGUGAGGUGAAAGUGGCGAAAGGGUGAGUAAUGCAUAGCCAACCUACCCCCGACACUGGGAUAACCAGGAGAAAUCUUGGCUAAGACCGGAUAUGCUCGCGAAGAUGCAUGUUUUUGCGAGUAAAAGGAGGCCUCUUAACAAUGCUUCUGGUUGGGGACGGGACUAUGUUCUAUCAGCUAGUUGGUGAGGUAACGGCUCACCAAGGCGAUGACGGAUAGCCGACCUGAGAGGGUGACCGGCCACACUGGGACUGAGAUACUGCCCAGACUCCUACGGGAGGCUGCAGUCGAGAAUCUUCCGCAAUGGGGGAAACCCUGACGGAGCGACGCCGCGUGCGGGAUGAAGGCCUGGUGUAACGCUGUCACACGUUAUCGAAAGAAACGGAAGGUUAAAAAGUACGUAC
rnacentral:rRNA from 1 species